UUGACUUGGUAACCUAAGUCUUGACCCUAGUCCCUAGAUGAAACAUAUAUGCAACUUGACAAAGAUUUCAUUGAGACAAACAUUAUGACCCCAC
rnacentral:sRNA from 1 species